CCUCUCUUAUUCACUUUCACGAGCGCUAAUUUGUUCACCUGUUUCUCAAUCAAUAGCUGUUUUCCCUAAUUCUCUCUUCUUUCCAAAAUCACUUCAAAGAAACCCUAAAACCAUUUGUCUGCGGUUCAAGCAACAAGGUCAGUUUUCUUCUGUCGUCGAGCAAUUGAAUGGUUGAAGAAAAUACUAGGCGCCUCUGCUUUCAGUUUCUCUCUCAAAACCCUAGAUCAACAAGUGCAAGUUCGUGUUCUUCACUCUCAUAUUCAUCAAUCAAGAACAUAGAUAUGUUUAUCCCUUCCGAUUUUUGAUGUUUUUGUUAUGUGAUGCCAGUCAUAACAAUCCUGUUUUUUGUUUUUUAUUGUGAAAACCCUAAAUGGUCAAUGUUUACAAACGGUGGUUAUUUUUGAUUGCGGUUGUUGUUUGUUGAUUUGAUUGAAGAAGAAUGAAGGUGUGUUUGUGUGGCGGCUGAAUCUGAUGAAGGUGUGUUGUUGUUUGUUGAUUUGACAGUGGUCGGAGAUGAAGGGGAUUCAUCAAUCUUAAUCACAGGUAUGUUCUUCCCUCUUGAUCUUUGAUUUUUUUUGUUAUGUAAUUCGAAUCUUGUUAAUCCUUUUUUGUCCCAAAAACCCUAAAUACUCAAUGUCUACAUACGGUUUGAAUUAUGAUAGAUCUGACUAUCUAGAAGCUGGUUUGACUUUUGUUGACCUUGGUGCAGUGCACAAGAAUUUUGUAGUAUUCAUGAUGAUUCUUGUCCUAUUCUGUGGGAUGCAAGAACAGGUUCUUCUCCAGCAAUGACAGCCAGGGUUCCGCUCAUUGAUCAUCAGUUGUUCGCAUCAAAAUCUAUGGCGUUUAGUGUGUUUGUUGGUUUGUGAUCUUUUAACCGGUUCCGAGAGGAUAAAGAUUGAAAAUUUAUGUGCCUAAUUUGAUAAUUGAGGGGUUUGCCUGUUUGGCUGAAGUAUGUUCCUGGAAUCAGCUUCAAAACUGAUAAUGAACCUUUCAAGGAGCAAGUGCUGCUGCUGGUGCUGUUAGAAGGGUUACUGGAGCUGAUUUUAGGAAUGGUUCUUGAACAAAGCUUGCAUCAUUCAGAACCCAAAAGACUUAACAUCAUUUGGGAUUGCUUUAGGCCCAUGGAGUUUUUGCACACUCGAACAAGUCGAAGAAGUUAACAUCAUUUGGGAUUGGUUUAGGGGCUUUUUAGUGCCACAUCAGAGCCACGUAUGCACCACGUAAGCGAGUGGCUUUAUCGUUAACUUUCACGGUAAGGACCACAUUACAAUUCACUAGGGAUCUUGCUCUAUCAAGAGGAUUCAUGUCGGCUAGAACCGUUACAGGAUUCUUAGCUGAUGUUGAUACAACUGCUGCUAAUGAACUGGGAAAAAUACAUAUUAUUGCAGAUGAAAGGGUGUGUAUUCACUAUUCAUCCACUUGCUGCCAAUUCGAUGUCAUGGAUCGUGUAGAUAUAAAGUUGUAUAUAGUGAAACCAAAACAAAUUAUUACAAGUAAUUAAUAUUAUUUUAUACACUAUGAAACGGAUAAACAUUUAUCUGGUGUUCGGAAACUGUUGAAACCAACUGAAAUUCUCAACCGAAGCAAGUUGGUUCGGCUGAUCAUCCAAUCUGGCCGGUUUGAUUUGUCGUUUCCCAAAACUAUAGUUAGUGGUUUGGCCGAAUAUUAUAGUCAUAACAUGUAGCUAGCGGGUUGACCACAAAAUUGAUAUACAAUAUCUCUGAUACUUUGAUGUAUCUGUAUAAGAUUUUUGUGAAUGAGAUUAUAUGUGAAUAUCCCAUUUCUUAUGAUUA